GAGGAUGGGCAUGCGGCGCAUUAGCUAGACGGCGGGGUAACGGCCCACCGUGGCGACGAUGCGUAGGGGUUCUGAGAGGAAGGUCCCCCACACUGGUACUGAGACACGGACCAGACUCCUACGGGAGGCAGCAGUGAGGAAUAUUGGUCAAUGGGAGAGAUCCUGACCCAGCCAAGCCGCGUGAGGAAAGACGGCCCUAUGGGUUGUAAACCUCUUUUGUCGGAGAACAAAACCCGGGACGUGUCCCGGACUGCGUGUAUCCGAAGAAAAAGCAUCGGCUAACUCCGUGCCAGCAGCCGCGGUAAUACGGAGGAUGCGAGCGUUAUCCGGAUUUAUUGGGUUUAAAGGGUGCGUAGGCGGUCCGUUAAGUCAGCGGUAAAAUUGCGGGGCUCAACCCCGUCGAGCCGUUGAAACUGGCAGACUUGAGUUGGCGAGAAGUACGCGGAAUGCGCGGUGUAGCGGUGAAAUGCAUAGAUAUCGCGCAGAACUCCGAUUGCGAAGGCAGCGUACCGGCGCCAGACUGACGCUGAGGCACGAAGGCGUGGGGAUCGAACAGGAUUAGAUACCCUGGUAGUCCACGCAGUAAACGAUGAAUGCUGGUUGUCCGGGUCGAAUGAGAUCUGG
rnacentral:rRNA from 1 species